rnacentral:rRNA from 1 species
GAUGAACGCUGGCGGCGUGCCUAAUACAUGCCAGUCGAGCGAACGGACGAGAAGCUUGCUUGUCUGAUGUUAGCGGCGGACGGGUGAGUAACACGUGGAUAACCUACCUAUAAGACUGGGAUAACUUCGGGAAACCGGAACUAAUACCGGAUAAUAUGUUGAACCGCAUGGUUCAAAAGUGAAAGACGGUCUUGCUGUCACUUAUAGAUGGAUCCGCGCUGCAUUAGCUAGUUGGUAAGGUAACGGCUUACCAAGGCAACGAUGCAUAGCCGACCUGAGAGGGUGAUCGGCCACACUGGAACUGAGACACGGUCCAGACUCCUACGGGAGGCAGCAGUAGGGAAUCUUCCGCAAUGGGCGAAAGCCUGACGGAGCAACGCCGCGUGAGUGAUGAAGGUCUUCGGAUCGUAAAACUCUGUUAUUAGGGAGGAACAUAUGUGUAAGUAACUGUGCACAUCUUGACGGUACCUAAUCAGAAAGCCACGGCUAACUACGUG